rnacentral:rRNA from 1 species
GAUGAACGCUGGCGGCGUGCUUAACACAUGCAAGUCGAACGGUGAAGGCGGAGCUUGCUCUGCUGGAUCAGUGGCGAACGGGUAAGUAACACGUGAGCAAUCUGCCCCUGACUCUGGGAUAAGCGCUGGAAACGGCGUCUAAUACUGGAUACGAGCUGCGAAGGCAUCUUCAGCAGCUGGAAAGAAUUUCGGUCAGGGAUGAGCUCGCGGCCUAUCAGCUUGUUGGUGAGGUAAUGGCUCACCAAGGCGUCGACGGGUAGCCGGCCUGAGAGGGUGACCGGCCACACUGGGACUGAGACACGGCCCAGACUCCUACGGGAGGCAGCAGUGGGGAAUAUUGCACAAUGGGCGAAAGCCUGAUGCAGCAACGCCGCGUGAGGGACGACGGCCUUCGGGUUGUAAACCUCUUUUAGCAGGGAAGAAGCGAAAGUGACGGUACCUGCAGAAAAAGCGCCGGCUAACUACGUG